rnacentral:rRNA from 1 species
UUGAGUUUGAUCCUGGCUCAGAAUCAACGCUGGCGGCGUGCCUCAGACAUGCAAGUCGAACGAAUAAGACUUCCUUCGGGAAGUGUAUAAAGUGGCGCACGGGUGAGUAACACGUAAGUAAUCUACCCUCGAGUGGGGAAUAACAUCGGGAAACCGAUGCUAAUACCGCAUAACGCAGCGGCACCGCAAGGUGACAGUUGUUAAAGGAGUAAUUCGCUUGAGGAGGAGCUUGCGGCAGAUUAGCUAGUUGGUAAGGUAACGGCUUACCAAGGCUACGAUCUGUAUCCGGUCUAAGAGGACGGUCGGACACACUGACACUGAAUAACGGGUCAGACUCCUACGGGAGGCAGUAGUCGGGAAUUUUGGGCAAUGGGCGAAAGCCUGACCCAGCAACGCCGCGUGAAGGAUGAAGUAUUUCGGUAUGUAAACUUCGAAAGAAUGGGAAGAAUAAAUGACGGUACCAUUUAUAAGCUCCGGCUAACUACGUGCCAGCAGCCGCGGUAAUACGUAGGGAGCAAGCGUUGUUCGGAUUUACUGGGCGUAAAGGGCGCGUAGGCGGCGCGGUAAGUCAGCUGUGAAAUCUCCGAGCUUAACUCGGAACGGCCAGCUGAUACUGCAGUGCUAGAGUGCAGAAGGGGCAAUCGGAAUUCUUGGUGUAGCGGUGAAAUGCGUAGAUAU